CCUACGGGCGGCAGCAGUGAGGAAUAUUGGUCAAUGGGCGAGAGCCUGAACCAGCCAAGUCGCGUGAGGGAGUACUGCCCUAUGGGUUGUAAACCUCUUUUGUCGGGGAGCAAAAGCCGGACGUGUCCGGCUGUGAGAGUACCCGAAGAAAUAGCCUCGGCUAACUCCGUGCCAGCAGCCGCGGUAAUACGGAGGAUGCGAGCGUUAUCCGGAUUUAUUGGGUUUAAAGGGUGCGCAGGCGGGUUUUUAAGUCAGCGGUAAAAUCGUGGGGCUCAACCCCAUCCAGCCGUUGAAACUGGGGAUCUAGAGUGUGCGAGAGGUAUGCGGAAUGCGUGGUGUAGCGGUGAAAUGCAUAGAUAUCACGCAGAACCCCGAUUGCGAAGGCAGCAUACCGGUGCACAACUGACGCUCAGGCACGAAAGCGUGGGUAUCGAACAGGAUUAGAUACCCGAGUAGUC
rnacentral:rRNA from 1 species